rnacentral:tRNA from 1 species
GGCCUCGUCGUCCAGUGGUAGGACACCGCACUGUCGAUGCGAGAACGGGAGUUCGAUCCUCCUCGAGGCCGCCA